UACGUAGGGUGCGAGCGUUGUCCGGAAUCACUGGGCGUAAAGGGCGCGUAGGUGGUGGCUUAAGCGUGCGGUGAAAGCUCGGAGCUCAACUCCGAGUCGGCCGUGCGAACUGGGCUCACUGGAGCAUAGUAGAGGCAGGUGGAAUUCCGGGUGUAGCGGUGGAAUGCGUAGAGAUCCGGAAGAACACCGGUGGCGAAGGCGGCCUGCUGGGCUAUGGCUGACACUGAGGCGCGACAGCGUGGGGAGCAAACAGG
rnacentral:rRNA from 1 species